ACACACACUCACACUCACACUCACACUCACUCACACUCACACUCACACUCACACUCACACUCACACUCACACUCACACUCACACUCACACUCACACUCACACUCACACUCACACUCACACUCACACACACUCACACUCACACUCACUCAUACACAUGCACACACACACUCACACACACUCACUCAUACACAUGCACACACACACACACACACACCCAUACACAUGCACACACACACCCAUACACAUGCACACACACACUCACACUCACACUCACAUUCACACUCACACUCACACACAUACGCACUUAUACUCACAUUCACACUCACACUCACACUCACACUCACACUCACACACACUCACACUCACACUCACACUCACACUCACACUCACACUCACACUCACACUCACUCACACUUACACUCACACUCACACUUACACUCACACACACACACACUAACACACACUCACUCACUCACACUCACACUCACUCACACUCAUGGACUCACACACUCACCCUCACACUCACAUUCACAUUCACAGUCACACUCACACUCACACUCUCACUCUCACUCUCACUCACACUCACACUCACACUCACACUCACACUCACACUCACACUCACACUCACACUCACACUCACACUCACACUCACACUCACACUCACACUCACUCACAUGCACACACACUCAUACACUCACGCUCACACACUCAUGCUCACACACUCACGCUCACGCUUACGCUCACACUCGCACUCACACUCAACUCACACUCACACUCACACUCACACUCACACUCACACUCACACUCACACUCACACUCACACUCAUAGAUAUUUUUAUUACACAUAUAUACGUGUUGUGAAUUGGCUGAUGUGUGUAUAUGUACGAUAUGUAUAUACUGAUACGUUUGUGCGUGUAUGUAUACAGUUGCUUGCUAUCAGUUAUAAACAAUUAUCAAUGUGUAUACUGUGUAUGUAUAUACCAAUACGUGCAUUCUAUAUGCACUGAUAUAUAUGACCAUAUAAACACUCAUUAGCAGUUUUUAUAUAUAUAUAUUUAUAUAUAUAUAUUUAUAUAUAUAUUGUGCCUAUAUACGAUAUGUAUAUGCUGAUUUGUUUAUGCAUGUAUGUAUAAACUUUCUAUCAGUUAUAUAUACUGAUAUGCGAAUGCACAUGCACUCUUACGAAUUCAUAGUGCAUACAUACAUUUCUUUAUACACUGAUAUUUAUGACCAAAUAGGCAAUUAUUAUCGAUUUAUAUAGUUACUAGUGCAUAUGUUCACUGAUAUGUAUAUGCGUACACUCAUAUGCAUAUGUAUAAUGGGUUUAUUAGUGAUAUAUACAGUUAUUAACUCAAUUUGUGUACGUAUUGAUGUAUAACAAUGUUUACCAUUGUUUUCAUUGUAUUUUUAUAUACUAAUGCAUAUAACCAUACAAAACAUUAGUUAUCAGCUCUAUAUAUACUUAUUAGUGUGUACAAAAUACAUUGACAUGUGUGUGUGUAUGUAUAUAUACUGAUAUGUGUGUAUGUGUAAAGGGCAUAACUGUAUAUAUACAGUGCAUUAUAUGACCUUAAUAUGUACAUUUCUAUAUAUACAUUGAUGUAUAUGACCAUAUAUACACUGAUUAUCAGUUUAUACAGUUAGUAACUUAUAUGUACACUGUUUUAUAUACUACACACACUCACACACACUCACACUCACUCACACACAUACUCACAUUCACACCCACGCCCACGCCCACGCUCACAAUCACACUCACACUCACACUCACAUUCACAUGCACACUCACACUCGCACUCACUCACAUACACUCACACUUACACACACUCACAUUCAAACUCAGAUAUUUAUACUACACAUAUAUGCAUUUUGUGUAUGGACUAUUGUGUUUAUAUAUACGAUAUGUAUAUACUGAUAUGUUUAUGCGUGUAUGUAUACAGUUGCUUGCUAUCAGUUGUAUACAAUUAUCAUUAUAUAUAUACUGAUAUUUGCACACUUAUGCACCUUUACAAGUUGAUAAGUGCAUAUAUAAUGUGUAUGUAUACACUUAUACAUGCAUUCUAUAUACACUGAUAUAUAUGACCAUAUAGACAUAUAUUAAUAAGUUAUAUAUACAUAUAUAUAUAUAGUGUGUUUAUAUACGAUAUGUAUAUACUGAUAUGUUUAUGCAUGUAUGUAUAAACUUUCUAUCAGUUAUAUAUACACUGAUAUGCGCACGCACAUGCACCCUUACGCAUUGAUUGCGCAUAUAUACAUUUUUAUGUACGCUGAUAUAGACCAUAUAUACACUUUUUAACAAUUUCUAUUGUUAUUAGCGUGGAUGUACAUUGAUAUGUAUAUGAAUGCACAGGUGGCUGUUGCAGUCAAUAAGGUUGAACAUAUCCCCCCCCUUCUUUUUUGAUUAUUUUCCUCUCAAUUUUUUUCAUUCGAAUCAUUAUCUUCCAUGUGAAUGAUUUUUCCGUAUACAAUUUUCCAAACUAUGAUAAAUUCAAGCCUUCAAGGAGAUUAUUUCUUCUGGCUAUCAUGCACGCACAUGCACCCUUACGCACAUGCACGCACAUGCACCCUUACGCAUUGAUUGCGCAUAUAUACAUUUUUAUGUACACUGAUAUAGACCAUAUAUACACUUUUUAACAGUUUCUAUUGUUAUUAGCGUAGAUGUACAUUGAUAUGUAUAUGAAUGCACAGGUGGCUGUUGCAGCCAAUAAGGUUGAACAUAUCCCCCCCUUCUUUUUUGAUUAUUUUCCUCUCAAUUCUUUUCAUUCGAAUCAUUUUCUUCCAUGUGAAUGAUUUUUCCGUAUACAAUUUUCCAAAUUGUGAUAAAUUCAAGCCUUCAAGGAGAUUAUUUCUUCUGGCUAUCACCUCUUAUCAGAUAAGCCUUGGUGAAUUUUGAUAUUGCUUUGUAUAGAAUUAGGCAUAAAAAUGGGUUUCUUCUCUUGAUGAAUUGGGUAUGCUAAAUACCCAAUUGUGAUAGUCCAUCUAAAUUUUAUGUCUUAUUUGUACUUGUUUCUAUUAUUAUUGAUGAGCUUCAUCUUCAUCGAGUUUGCUUGUAAAGCAACAAGCAUGAAAGCAACUUAUCAUCGGGGUGGAUCUCUUUACGUUAUUGGAUAUUUGAGAUCUUGAUCUUGCAAGCUGGAUUUGAUUAAUGGUUCUUUCUUAUCUUGAUCUUGCAAGCUGGAUUUGAUUAAUGGUUCUUUCUUAUCUUGAUCUUGCAAGCUGGAUUUGAUUAAUGGUUCUUUCUUCUCUAGUAUAAUAUUUCUCUUGCUUUUUUCAUGCAAAAAUGAAGUGAAUUUUCUGAAACUUUACUUGUGGUUUGUAAUUUUUUAAGUAACUUUUUCUUAACACACACACAUUCUUGCUUCUUUCAUGCAAAUAUGGAAUGAAUUUUUUGGAGUAUUACUUGUGGUUUUCAAUUUCAUUAAGUAACUUUUUCUUAACACACACAUACACCCCACAUACACACACACACUCUCUCACACACACACACACACACACACACUCACACUCACACUCACUCACACACACACACACACACACACGCUCACGCUCACACGCUCUUGCUCACACUCACACACUCACUCACUCACACACUCUCACACCCACAUAGUCACACACAUUAACACACAGUCACACUAACACUCACACUCACACUUAGAUAUAUAAUACACUUAUAUGAGUGUUGUGUAUGGACUGAUGUGUGUAUAUAUACGAUGAUAUGUUUAUGCAUGUAUGUAUAUAAUUGCUUGCUAUCAGUUAUAUACAAUUGUCAAUAUAUGUAUACACUGAUACGUGUAUGCACAUGCACCCUUACGUGUUGAUAAGUGCAUAUAUACUGUGUAUAUUUACAUUAAUACAUGCAUAUUAUAUACACUGAUAUAUAUAACCAUAUAAACACUUCUUAGCACUUUACAUAUAUAUACAAUGUGCAUAUUUACGACAUGUAUAUAUUGAUAUGUUUAUGCGUGUAUCUAUAAACUUCUUAUGAGUUAUAUGUAUAUUGAUAUCCGCACGCACAUGCACCCUUACUCAUUGAUAAUGCAUAUACAUUUUUAUAUACACUGAUAUAUAUGCCCAUAUGGAUACUUCUUAUCAGUUUAUACAGUUAUUGGUGUUUAUGUACACUGAUAUGUAUAUACUCUCACACUCACAUGCAUAUGUAUAAUGGGUUUAUAUAUGCACUAAUAUAUAAAGCCCAUGUAUAUACAUACUUAUUAUCUUUGAUAUAUAUAUAAUUAUUAGCUCAAUUUGUGUAUGUAUUGAUGUAUAUCAAUAUAUACCAUUCUUUUCAGAGUAUAUAUAUAUACCGCUGCAUAUAACCAUACAAUACAUUAGUUAUCAACUUAUAUGCAGUUAUUAGUGUGCAAACUUACAUUGAUAUGUGUGUGUGUGAUGUAUGUAUGUAUACGAUGUGUAUAUACGGAUUUGUGUGAAUGUGUAAAGUGCAUAAAUGUAUAUAUAUAGUGCAUUAAUAUAUACAUUUAUAUAUACACUGCAUUAAUAUAUACAUAUAUAUACAUUGAUGUAUAUGACCAUAUAUAUUCAUUAUUAGUUUAUACCUUUAUUAACGUAUAUGUACACUAAUUUAUAUACUACACACACACGCACUCACACUCACACUCACACUCACUCUCAUCCUCACACUCACACUCACUCACUCACUCAUACACACACACACUCAGACCCACACACUUACACUCGCACUCGCACUGACACUGACACUGACACUGACACUGACACUGACACUGACACUGACACUGACACUGACACUCACUCACACUGACACUGACACUGACGCUGACACUCACUCACACUCACACUCACACUCUCACUCACUCUCACUCUCACUCUCACUCUCACUCUCACUCUCACGCUCACGCUCACGCUCACGCACACUCACACUCACACUCACACUCACACUCACACUCACACUCACUCACACUCACACUCACACUCACACUCACACUCACACUCACACUCACACUCACACUCACACUCACACUCACACUCACUCACACUCACACUCACACUCACUCACACU
rnacentral:lncRNA from 1 species